CGGUCGUCGGGACGGCGACGGUCAUGAUGCGUCAUCCGAGGCUCUCGCGUGGGCGGGGUUCGGCGACACGAAAGGACUUGAGCUCGUCGAUGCGAUCGGCGAGACCGGCAUAGACGCCCUUGUCAUGUUUCACUUGCGCGGUUCCCCCGACGACGUCGACCGCGCGCUGGAGGCUGCAGACUUCGAUGAUCCGCCGACAC
rnacentral:misc_RNA from 1 species